rnacentral:rRNA from 1 species
GAUGAACGCUGGCGGCGUGCCUAACACAUGCAAGUCGAACGAAGCACUUCUCUUGGAGAUUCGUCGAAGAGGGAUUUGACUUAGUGGCGGACGGGUGAGUAAUGUAUGAGCAACCUGCCUUUCAGAGGGGGACAACAGUUGGAAACGACUGCUAAUACCGCAUAAUGUAUUUUGGGGGCAUCCCCGGGAUACCAAAGGAGCAAUCCGCUGAAAGAUGGGCUCAUAUCUGAUUAGUUAGUUGGUGGGGUAACGGCCCACCAAGACUGCGAUCAGUAGCCGGACUGAGAGGUUGAACGGCCACAUUGGGACUGAGAUACGGCCCAGACUCC